AUCGCUUCUUAGCCUUUUGGCUAAGAUCAAGUGUAAUACUUUUGAAUAACCUAACAUAGCUCUUUAUCUGAUGUCCCUAAAUUAAGACAUUUUAGAAUAAAGGACAUCUUUGCAAGCAAUGUAUUACUUCUGGAUUAAAAAUAAUUCAA
ensembl:snRNA U2 U2 spliceosomal RNA